rnacentral:misc_RNA from 1 species
UCCGGUUUAACACCGGCAGUCUGCUUAGAGUGCCCAACUAAAUGGUGGCAACUAAGCAUAAGGGUUGCGCUCGUUAAGGGACUUAACCCGACAUCUCACGAUACGAGCUGACGACAGCCAUGCAGCACCUGUCUCUCUGUGUAUUGCUACAAGACUCUAUCUCUAGAGCUGUCAGAGGAUGUCAAACCCAGGUAAGGUUCUUCGCGUUGCAUCGAAUUAAACCACAUGCUCCACCGCUUGUGCGGGCCCCCGUCAAUUCCUUUGAGUUUUAACCUUGCGGCCGUACUUCCCAGGCGGGGUACUUAAUGCGUUAGCUUCGACACUGCAGGGGUCAAUUCCCGCAACAUCUAGUACCCAUCGUUUACGGCGUGGACUAC